rnacentral:tRNA from 1 species
GUUCCGUUGGCACAAUGGCAGCGCGCAAGACUUCUAAUCUUGAGGUUGCGGGUUCGAGUCCCGCACGGAAUG